rnacentral:rRNA from 1 species
UCGGGAAUUUUGGGCAAUGGGCGAAAGCCUGACCCAGCAACGCCGCGUGAAGGAUGAAGUAUUUCGGUAUGUAAACUUCGAAAGAAUGGGAAGAAUCAAUGACGGUACUAUUUGUAAGGUCCGGCUAACUACGUGCCAGCAGCCGCGGUAAUACGUAGGGACCAAGCGUUGUUCGGAUUUACUGGGCGUAAAGGGCGCGUAGGCGGCGUGGUAAGUCACUUGUGAAAUCUCCGAGCUUAACUCGGAACGGUCAACUGAUACUGUCAAACUAGAGUACAGAAGGGGCAAUCGGAAUUCUUGGUGUAGCGGUGAAAUGCGUAGAUAUCAAGAGGAACACCUGAGGCGAAGGCGGGUUGCUGGGCUGACACUGACGCUGAGGCGCGAAAGCCAGGGGAGCAAACGGGAUUAGAUACCCAUGUAGUCCCUGAGCGGGCUGGCAAGGCGCAU